rnacentral:lncRNA from 1 species
CGCGAUUGAUUCUAUAUGGAAAAGGCCCGCACAAAAAUCUGGAGGGAAAAUGACCGCCAAUCUCACUUCUGCGUGCCAAAAUGCAGGGACACCCAUCCCAUAAAACAGAGGUAUCUGAAAUCACAGGAAGAAGAAAAAUUGCAAUCGCAGCUGAUUGUGAUGAAUUAAUUUCAGGGAGAACAUCAACUUUGCAAACAUCAAGCAGACUGGGGCUCUAUUGUCCCCUAUGGCUUCUUCUUCAAGCACGGACUAUGGGAACCAUCAACAGGACAAUGAAUCUGAAGGACGAAAAGUAAGAAGUCUGACUCAUAUUCUUCUUGAUCUCUUUUCGUUGUUCCUGCCCUUCUUGUUGAACCGGUUGCUUUUCCCUGUUAACAAACAAAUCAACCAAUCAUGAUUGUAUAAGAUCUAUUCAAAUCUGAUUAAAACUACUAUACAACCAUGUAGACACACUGGGCAUAGCAGUUUUGCACAACUUAGUUCGUUAGGUGAUUCGUGUAAUUUCGACUGUACAUAUGCAAGAAUCUAGUAUCCAUUCACAGCGUUCUACAUGUAAUAAAAUCAGAUGUCUAAUUUUUCUUAUCAUUAAUCUAUAUUAGUCUGAAAAAAUUAACAUUAUGUCCAUUUCCAAUUGAUUUAGAUUCCGACUGUUGUAGAAUAGUUUAGUUUCCAUUUAGUAUUCCAGUAGUGCGGCCUUCUAGACAAGACACGUAGUAUGACUAUGAGGAUUAAAGAGUUACACUACAUAUGCAUAUGAACUAAUGUGAAUAGUGAUUCAUAUAGGAUGUGCAUGAAACUGCUCCUAGCAAUGCAACAGAUUACAGUAAUGAAAGGGUACCAAAGCUUGGCAUGCAAUUUUUAUCUGAAUAGGAAGCUUACUCCUUUUAUAACAAGUAUGCAAAAGCCAUUGGUUUUAGCAUCCGAAGAGGGAGUCAACAUAAAGUAAAGAAUUCUGCUGUCAUACAACAACGAACAUUUACAUGCUCCCGUGAAGGUAUGGCCUGCUUGUAUUUUGUUUUGGUUAUAUUAUUACUUUUGAAUCACUAAGAUACUUAUUUUAAUUGACAGGAUUCCACGCAGAAGAUAAGAGAGAGGAUUCUUUCAGUUACAGUAGGCCUGAAACACGAUGUGGAUGUAAAUCCCAUAUGAAGAUAAGUCUUAAAGACGGAUUAUAUUAUGUGUACGAAUUUGAGGCUGCACAUAAUCAUAAUCUUGCUACUAGAGACAUGGCCUUAUACUUAAGAUCCCAAAGGAAGGUGACGGAAGCACAAAUAGCAAACGCCGAGGUCGCAAAGUCUGUAGGCAUUUCAAACAAAGCAACUAUUGAUCUUAUGGCCAAAGAAGCAUGUGGACUUCCAAAUCUUGGGUUUGCACCCGAAGAUAUGAAAAAUCGUUUGUACUCUAAGAGAACAUUGCAAGCAAAAAAGGGUGACACAGGGGGAGUGUUGGAAUACAUGGAGAAGAAAGUAAAAGAAGAUGCCAAUUUUUUCUAUUCAAUUCAAAUUGAUGAGGAUGAUCUGAUAACCAAUAUUUUUUGGGCUGACUCCAAAAUGAUCUCAGACUAUGCAUUAUUUGGUGAUGUUAUAUGCUUUGACACCACAUAUAGGAAACUAGAUGAUGGACGUCCCUUUGGUUUGAUUGUUGGGGUUAAUAAUCACAAGAAAACUGUUGUCUUUGGUGCCACACUUCUGUAUGAUGAAACUGCUGAAAGUUUUGGUUGGCUUUUUAGAACAUUCCUAACAGCUAUGUCUGGGAAAUAUCAAGGACAAUUCUGACCGAUGAAGAUGCAGCAAUGGCCAAGGCAAUCAGUAUAGUACUACCUCAAUCUCAUCAUAGACUUUGUGUGUGGCAUAUGAAUCAAAAUGCUUGCAAGCACCUAGGAGGAGUUGUUGAAGAAUACAAGAAGUUCAAUGCUGAUUUUCAGCAUUGUAUAUAUGAUAUUGAGGAAGAAGACGAUUUUAUAGAUGAGUGGAAUAGAAUGAUAGACAAGUAUGGACUACGUGACAAUACAUGGCUGCAAAGGUUGUUUGAGAAAAGGGAGCAGUGGGCUCUAGUGUAUGGCAGAAAUACGUAUAUUGAGAAGAUGGACAAUUGAUGCCAAAGUGCUCGAUAUAACAAGCAAUCGCAAUCUGCAUGAUGAUCUAAAAGCAAGAAUGUGUAGCUUCUAUAAGGACUUAUGCAGAAUGUUUAUCCACAUAGCUGCUCGCGCCGCAGAGUCAGAUGAAACUUAUGAUAUGGCAGCUAAAUGCGCAGAGCAGCUAGCACGAGAUGUGGAAAAACAGUUGAAAAUUAGAACUGAUCCAGAUCCAAGUCCGAAUUUGGGUAACUCCUCAGUUUCACAAGGUAUAUGCAUACAAGUUAUAUACUAUGCUACUAGUUGCAUACAGUAUUUUCAAACUAAGACUUACAUUUAACUUUAUGGUUGCAGGUACGAACAUUGACUCUAGUAGAGUUUCAAAACAUAACGAGGGGCUUGAAAGGCCAAAAGGUAUGAAGGUCAAGGAGAAGACUGCAUGAGGAUCAGCAAGGCCUAUUGGUGGCUUGGAGAAAGCAAAAACAAAGAAGAAAAAGAAGAUAGAUGAUUCUUUCCAACUACAACCUGAAAUGCCUUUCACAAAUCAAAUGUUUGUGUAUAACCCAAUGUUAAUGGUAUAAGAAGUCUACCCAUUUAACUUUCUCUCAUUUUUAAAAUUCAAUGACGCUAAGCUUUGCUAUUAAUCUCUUAGGGUCAUUUGGGAGAAAAUAUUGAAAUGCCUUUCACAAAUCAGGUGUCUACACAUAACCCAAUGUUAAUGGUAUAAAAAGUCUACACAUAUAACUUUCUCUCAUUUUCAAACUACAAUGACGCUAAGCUUUGCUAUUAAUCUUCUUAGGGUCAUUUGGGAGAAAGUAUUAUACCAGGAUCAGCAAGAUCCGUUGGUGGCUCGGAGAAAGAAAAAAUGAAGAAGAAAAAGAAGACAGCCAAUUCUUUACAACUACGACCUGAAAUGCCUUCCGCAAACCAAAUGCUUGUGUAUCUACCACAGUACAACCAAACCCAAAUGGUAAAAGAAGUCUUCUUUUUAACUUUUUUUCAUUUUCAAUCCUCUGCGACCUAAGCUUUGCUAUUUACUUGCAUAAGGUCAUAUGGGAGCUCCGGCCAAUCUUGUACACCCCUAUUUAGCACAUUACAACUCAAGUCUGCGACAAUCCAUUGGUACCUCUACCUCUACGAUGAUGUCAGGACAAAAUCUAUCAUUCUCCCAACAACAGACUCCUACAAGUGGUACCUCUACCCCUAUGAUGAUGCCAGGACAUAAUAUAUCACUCUUGCAACAACAGACUCCUAUGAGUGGUACCUCUACCCCUGUGGUGAUGCCAGGACAAAACCUAUCAUUCCUCCAACAACAGACUCCUACGAGUGGUACUUCUACCCCUGUGAUGAUGCCAGGACAAAACUUAUCAUUCCUCCAACAACAGACUCCUACGAGUGGUACUUCUACCCCUGUGAUGAUGCCAGGACAGAAUCUACUAUUCUUCCAUCAACAGAAGCCAGCUUAAUCGAUGUUACAGAUUUUUAUCUCAUGUAUUUGCUUGCAAUUCUAUUAGAACCUAUGAGUAUACGACCAUGCUUGCAAUUCUUACUUGUUCAUGUGACUGUCGAUGGAAUGCAACAAUUUUUUUCUACCUUUCAUGCACUGUAAAUAUUGUCAACUCGUUCACUGGUGUACUCCAUCUAAAGACAUGUCGCAAAACAACGAUAACACUCAACUUCUGUGAAAUCGAUAACAGUAUUGUGAUUUCUAGUAUGUCUACUGCUAAACAAGCAAUAUGAACUAUGUUGUUGUAAGAAUACUUUGCAUCAGGUACAAACUGUAGUACGACCAACAUCCAACGGCAUAGAUUUUAUAUCUAACCUCACAAGCAGAACUGUAGUUAAUCACUGACAACGCCGGCGUUGACAUUGUUGACCCACGUCUUCUGGCCUCAUGCUGUCUGUAAAUAUCACCAACAUCAGCUAAUUAAAAUUCAGUUCAUUCAACCAGUAGAGAACAUGAUCAACAUUUUGUGCUAGACAAUCACAUCAUAGAGGGUCACUCACCGAGCAUGGCGACCUCGGCGGGCGUGAGCAGAGUUCUCACCAAUACUUAAUGAAAGAGAUGCUUAUAGUACUAGCAUACGCCUGCUCAAAUAGUAUCAUACAAAUGAAUGAGUUGCAGUUGAUACAUAUCCAGACUCAAACGUGAGGCUAGCAUUAGUACAGACCAAACAGUUUCAUUAGUACGUCUCACAAAACUACGGUCAGCUCAAGGCCUGUGAGAUCUGUCGUCUUCCAGCUGUAGAAUAGUCGACCGCCUCAAUUUAGUGAUCAGUAGCACAGCGUCCGCGUCCGCCUCUGUUGCUGCUUAGCUUCUACUGCUGCUAUACUAGCAGGGAACACGCGCAAAGGCGCUGCCAGAAAGCCAAGUCGCAGCCGGCGACAGCCGCCACGGUCGCCACGGUCUAGGCGUCGGCGGCCGCCGCGACCGUUACCUCGUCGGUGAUGGACACACAGCGCCGCCUCAAUUUGGUCUGAGAACAAAUCCAAUCAGCAGACAACAAAUUAGAAGAAGGAAGAAACAAACUGGAUCGAACAGGGAAGGGUCAAUGUCAGCAAGCAGGAGGAGCAAAACCAGGAGGGGGAGGUGGUCUUGAGAUUGGAGAGGGCCGGCAUCUGCGACGGGGGUGGCGCCACACCUGCUCGAGGCCAUGGCCUAGGUCCGAUCUGAUUCAAUCUUGAGCUUGUGCAAUAGCUGCCUGCUUGGCUGCGGUGGCAAAGUCAGCGGCGGGGAGGGACUGGGAAGUGCGGCGACGGGAGCGGAGGGCGGUCGCUGGAUUCACUCGAUGCCUUCGCUCCCCGCGGACCACGGUCGGCUGUCGGAAGUGAGAGCGAAAGGGGAAGAAAGGGGACGAAGGGGAAUACAUACGGGGGGAGGGGACGGAAUACGGGAGAUCCGCGAAUUGUUUCCUCAAAAAAAAUAGACGACGGGGAAGAAAAAUUGGCCCAGCCGUUCGAUGCGAUUUUAACGUUUCGGGAGCACCGAUGGAAGCACGGGAC